CCCUUAGAUGUUCUGGGCUGCACGCGCGCUACACUGAUGCGCUCAACGAGUUUACGACCUUGCCCGGAAGGGUUGGGUAAUCUUUUUAAAACGCAUCGUGAUGGGGAUAGAUUAUUGCAAUUAUUAAUCUUCAACGAGGAAUGCCUAGUAGGCGCAAGUCAUCAGCUUGCGUCGAUUACGUCCCUGCCCUUUGUACACACCGCCCGUCGCUCCUACCGAUUGGGUGUGCUGGUGAAAUGUUCGGAUCGGCCGUUUGUCGCGGUUUCCGCGGCUCGUGGCUGAGAAGUUCAUUAAACCCUCCCACCUAGAGGAAGGAGAAGUCGUAACA
rnacentral:rRNA from 1 species